rnacentral:lncRNA from 1 species
AUUAACCUAAUACUAGCCCUAGUAAUCAACACCCUAUUAGCCUUAUCACUAAUAGUUAUUACAUUAUGGCUCCCACAACUUAAUAUUUAUAUAGAAAAAUCCAGCCCCUACAAAUGCAGAUUUGACCCAUUAUCCUCCGCCUGCAUUCCCUCCCCCAUAAAAUUUUUUCUAGUAGCCAUCACAUUCCUCCUAUUUGACUUAGAAAUCGCCCUAUUACCCUUGCCAUGAGCUCUUCAAACAAACAACCUGACACUAACAAUCAGCACAGCCCUUAUACUAGUUAUCAUUUUAGUACUAGGGUUAACUUAUGAAUGAACUCAAAAAGGAUUAGACUGAACUGAA